CAGAUCUUUCCCGACCCAUCAGAUUUUGACCGCUGUUGCAAACUGAAGGACCGCCUGCCCUCCAUAGUGGUGGAACCCACAGAAGGGGAGGUGGAGAGUGGGGAGCUCCGGUGGCCCCCUGAGGAAUUCCUGGUCCAGGAGGAUGAGCAGGACAACUGUGAAGAGACAACAAAAGAAAAGAAGGAUCAGUAGAGUCCCUCGCGGGCUCGCCCGGGUCGUGCCAGCCAGCAUACCUGAACUGUUUUUCCCACGGCGAUGGGAGAAGAGUGAGACACAGUCAUUCUGAAAAUGUCAAAUGAGGCUUCCGUUUUUUGCACCUGAAAAUCACCGAGUCGGUUUUCUUUCUUUCUUUCCUUUUUUUUUUUUUUUGUCUUUUUGUUUUGUUUUGUUUUUGAUUCGUUGAGCAAUGGAGCCCUCUGACAACUUGCAAGGCUGAGAAAGGAAGCUAGCUGCUGAGAACAGGGGUUGGGGUGGGGGGAAGGGGGUGCUGCUUCUAAGAUCCCUAUCUGAACUCUAGUGCCAGAGGCCAGAGGCAGUGCUAUGUGUGUGUGUUGGGGAGGGGGUGGGUUCUGGCUGAGGUGGAUGAGGAAAUGAGCGAGAAAUAUUUUGGAUUGAAACAACAACAACAACAAAAAACAAAACAAACCCCACACUUUUAAAGAGAAGUACAGCUAGGAAGUGCUUCUCUCCCUGCAUUUACUCUGGCUACUGGGGCGUCUUUAUCUCCUGCUCUGUUGGUCAAAGCCACCAGCCUUUGCUUUCCUUUCAAGUGUGUUUGGUCGCCCGCAGAGAAAUAGGGUCUGGAGAAGCUGCCUAUGAAGCCAGAUGGAGGGAUACAUAAGAAAGGAAGAUCCCACCUGUCCUUCUUAUGGACUCUGGCCCCAGCUGCUUCAGGCUCUCGGAGCCCCCAGGAGCUGGAAGGCUUUAAGGCAUAGUACUCUUGAGUUUUCUCCCUAUUUGCCCCUCUUUGCCUCCCGGUAUAUAGGGGGAACAGCCAGAGCAUUUCCUGCCCUUGUGGGACAUUCCAAGGCUGCAACCUGAACAGAGAGUGCCACCUUCCACUGUGGGUCUCCCAAGAAUUCUUAUGUAGUCUCCAUGGAGCAAAAGGGUAGAAGAGUCAGCUCUCCCAGGCCUGCCCUUUCUUCUCCUUUGGCCACAGCAGUUAGGUGGAUGGUCCCCAGCUCUGCUGUGGCCGUCAUCAUCCUUCUGACCUGCAGCAGGACCACUCCAGUGGGGAUCCCAGUCUGGCUUCCAUGGGCGCUCAAAGCAGAGUGUGUUUCCUGGUUGGAAGUUGGCUAGUGGGUGUCCAUGCAGGAACCAUGGUGCCGCAUUGAUAUGUUAAAGUUCGCCGGUGGGUACCAGGCCUCCGGUGGAGCAGCUGUGGGAUCCAGUUUGAGACAGUAGCUGUUAUGAGAUCACUGCUUCUCCUCAUCUUGCUCCUGAGCACAGGCUGGGAGAAGACAUGGGGUGCACUGGGGUAUCCUUGUAGAAUAGCAGCCUUUAUUCCUUCCUCACCUUACCUGUCUCUGGAAGGGCAGCAAUUGCAUGGGACAAUUAACAUCUGGACUUAGCCUCUGAUCAUAGCUCAGAACCUUCUGGAAUAGCGGGUUAGAGGACAGAAUUUUCAGAGCAGGGCUGUUUGGUCAAGAGGUGGACUUAAGCCUUCCUUGGGCUUCACUUGGCCAACUGAGGCACUCACAAUGUCCCCUCACGUCUCUGUCAAUCCAGGUUGACCCCCAUCUUUGGACUAGUGUGUCUGGUUCUAUUUAAUACCUCAAAGUCAGUGUGGCUCUGGGGCACGUUGGGGCAAGAGCGUGGGGGUGUGCUGUUGACACGGCAUUCAGCAAGGUUUGGUUCUGGGAUGCCGAUGGUCACCCUCCCCUGCCCCCCGCCUCUUCCCUCUGUCGUCUGCCUGUGAUACACACCGAUGGCAAUAACUUUUUUCUGGCUCCUUGCAGAAGUGGGAGAGAGCUGCAGCCAAUCCCACCAUGGGGGAGCUUCUCUCUCUUGCUUCCACUCUGUUCUGUUUUGGCUACAGAGAUCUGUUCAUCCUUCUCCCCUUCUCCCACGGCAUUUCUCGUCCCUCGCCUCCCUUUAUGGACAGGUGUUUGGCCUUUGAAAUUCCUGUGUUUUGGUGUCUUCUCACCCCUACCCCGAUCUGUCUUGGUCUUGCCGUGUGACGGGAUGUGCUUGUAAAUCCAGUAUCAAUCAGCUUUGUGUAUAUGUGUGUCUGUGGGGUGGCUUCUUCCUUUUGCCGGUCACUAGACCAUGUUGUACAACCGUGUGUUGUCUGAGCAGGUCAGGGGCUGAUAGCUAACGUCAGGCCCCUCAGCGGUUGAGCCUGUUGGGGGGACCCAGCUGCUCUUGGACAAGUGGCUGAGCUCCUGUCUGGCCUCUUCUUCUCUUUCUCUUUCUCUUUCUCUUUCUCUUCCCCUCUUCCUCUUCCCUCUCCUCCUCCUCCCCUCCUCUUCCUCUUCCUCCUCUUCUUUCUUUAAGUAAUUUGUGUGUAUUUCUAACUGAUCGUAUUGAAAAAAAAAAUCCUAGUAUUUCAGUGACAUGCCUGUUGUGAGAUGAACCUCCUGUGACUUCUGUCUGUUCUGUAUCGAGGCUCAGGGAGAAACUAGCAUUUUUUUUUUCCAAACUACUUUUUGUCACUGUGACAGUUGUAAAUAAAGUUUGAAAAUGCUUUCC
rnacentral:lncRNA from 1 species